GGGCGGGUCGUCUAGUUGGUUAGGAUGCCGCCCUGACGCGGCGGUGGUCGUGGGUUCGAAUCCCACCCCGCCCACCA
rnacentral:tRNA from 1 species